rnacentral:rRNA from 1 species
UUCGGGUGGCUGGCGAGUGGCGGACGGGUGAGUAACACGUGGAAACCUAUCCAGGAGUGGGGAACAACAGUUGGAAACGACUGCUAAUUCCGCAUACGUCCUACGGGAGAAAGGCUUCGGUCGCUCCUGGCGGGUUCCGCGUCGGAUUAGCUAGUUGGUGAGGUAAUGGCUCACCAAGGCGACGAUCCGUAGCUGGUCUGAGAGGAUGAUCAGCCACACUGGGACUGAGACACGGCCCAGACUCCUACGGGAGGCAGCAGUGGGGAAUAUUGCGCAAUGGGGGAAACCCUGACGCAGCGAUACCGCGUGAGUGACGAAGGCCUUCGGGUUGUAAAGCUCUUUCAGUAGGGAAGAUUGUGACGGUACCUACAGAAGAAGCUCCGGCUAACUCCGUGCCAGCAGCCGCGGUAAUACGGAGGGAGCAAGCGUUGUUCGGAAUUACUGGGCGUAAAGGGCGCGCAGGCUGUUUGGCAAG